CAUGAUGAAUACUUUCCAUCUUUGCAGACUUUGGGGGUGUAUAUAUGAUGGAACAUAUAUAGACUACAUAUGGUGACUGGCAGGGAUGGAGUUAAAUCUUUUUCCCUGAAGAGGAAAGCUGCAACAGUUUUUUUUCCCUCACAGCAGGGCCUGUUAAACAUUCCAAUAAUGUGGGGGAAUAUUACUGGGUUCAGCUGAGACAAAUUACUAACUUUAACAAAAAUCACAACAGCUGGGCCUAUAAAAUGGAAGAGUGGAUAAGAUUUUCCCCCCUCCCCCUUUUUCCUGUGUUUGGUUAAGUUCUGAAAACAAAGAAAGAUUUGGGGAAAUUCACCACUGUGCAGAGGACCAGUACAAGGUCUUGGUAGCGUUUCUCACCUGCUUAACUGGUACAGAAGACUUGCUGGGUGGCUUUGCAGCAGCGAAUUUGAUGAUGACUUCAGAUACGGGACUGUCUCUACCAAUAUCUCUAACAAUCAGAACCCACAAUUUCCCAAGAUUACAUCGUAUGAAGAAAAUUGUCUCCAAUGUCGAGCCGCUACAUUUCCCCCUUGAUGGAGUCUGCACUGCCAGCGAGAGGAAUAGUUUUACAGAAUUUUGAGAUGCAUUCACAAGACUCCCUGAAUGCCAUUUCAGGCAUUGCUCUGAAAAUUUCCCCAAAGUUCCUGUUUUGAAGAUCUCUGACAGAAACAAUGGGAUACUGGUAGGUGUUUCAGGGAAUCCCAGAAUCCACCAAUGCAAAAACAGCAGACAGGGAGAUCAUGAUUAGAUGUGCCAAACUGUUUCAAAAGCUGAGUUGCUGUGGGGAUGUGUUGCACUAGUGUCAAGACAACUGGUGCAACUGUGCAAUCUAUGCCCCUAAAAAGAUGCACUUGCCUAUUUUUAAAUACCACCAUACUUGGGGAGGGAGAAAUCAAUUGGACCUCCCUUUAAAGACAGUCAGGAAACAUCUUCACAUGAAGGCUUUAGAACUUCUCUACAUGGUGGAGAGAAGUUCUAAAGCCUUCAUGUGAAGAUAAGUCUUUGGGGAUAGCUCUACACCAGGGGUCGGCAAUCUCUCAGAAGUUGUGUGCCAAGUCUUCAUUUAUUCACUCUAAUUUAAGGUUUUGCCUGCCAGUAAUACAUUUUAACCCUUUUAGAAGGUCUC